AGCGAACGCUGGCGGCAGGCUUAACACAUGCAAGUCGAGCGGGCACACCGGUGUCAGCGGCAGACGGGUGAGUAACAUGUGGGAACGUACCCGUUGGCUCGGAAUAACGCUGGGUCACUAGCGCUAAUACCGGAUACGUCCCUCUGGUGCCAGGCUUGCCGCCGUAGGAAAGGCCGGAGAUUGUUUAGCUAGGUGGUGGGGGAAUGGCCUACCACGGCGUGGAUCAGUAGCUGGGCUGAGAGAAUGGGCAGCCACUCUGGGACUAGGACGCGGCGGAGACUCUUGCGCGAGGCGGGCGAGGCGAAUAUAGCAAAACCGGCGCAGGCCUGAAGGAGCCAGGCCGGGUGAGUGCUGAAGGCCUUAGGGUAGUAAAGCACUUUUGUCCGGGGCGAUAAUGACGGUACCGGAAGAAUAAGCCCCGGCUAACUUCGUG
rnacentral:rRNA from 1 species